UUUUCUGUCCUUUCCGCCCUCCCAAGCUGUCAACAACAGCUCCCCUAGACUCUGCCUAGCACAGAAUUUUGCUGACUUCUGAGAAAUUCAAGAGGCAAACCUGCAGGGCAAAGAAAGAAACUUGGGAAAAGAAAGGAGUGUUGCAGGGAGAUCUGAAGCAAAGAAGAGCAGUUGGGAAGAAGCACAUAGAAUCUGUCUCCCUGCGCUCUGGGAAACGAUUGCUCUCCUUUUGUAGCUGUAGCCACCACCAUGCAUCCCCUUCAAAGGGGUUUCCUCUGCUGUUGAGCAAAGUGGCCUGCCCCCCAUUUCCCCAGGUUCUGCUGGCUAAGUUCACUUCUAGCCCCUCCAUGCCCCUCUACCUCUGCCUCAGCAUGUCCAUGACAAGGACAGAAGCAAGCUGUGGUCUCAGGCCCCAACUGCCUCCCUCCUCUCCCACAUUCAGAGGCAGUACCUACCAUGGACAGCGGCUUUUGUCAGCGGCUGCCCACACUGGAAACUGAAGCAUGACACCUCAAGCCUAAAAACCUUUCCUCAUUAACACUUCCUCCUAAA
rnacentral:lncRNA from 1 species